GGAUGUGAGGGCGAUCUGGCUGCGACAUCUGUCACCCCACUGAUCGCCAGGGUUGAUUUGGCUGAUCUGGCUGGCUAGGUGGGUAUCCUCUUCCUCCCUCACCGCUCCAUGUGCGUCCCUCCCGAAGCUGUGCGCUGGGUAGAAGAGGACGACCAUCCCUGAUAGAGGAGGACCGAGGAGGACCGUUCUUCAGUCAAGGGUGUACGAGUAGCUGCGCUCCCCUGCUAGAAUCUCCAAAAAAGCUCUCAAAAUGCAGGCUACGUGUUCUAGCCCCACUUGCAGUUAAGUAUGUGCAUGUGAGCCCAAAUCUUGCAAAUAUCACAAAAGAAUGGAAUAUAAACAUCCUGUUUAUUGUU
rnacentral:snRNA from 1 species